AGUUCAUUAGCAUAUGGCUCAUGUAAUACAACUGGGGUUGUUAUGAGAAUGAAAAAUUUGGCCUCUGAGACAAGCACAGAGGGUCAGUGAUGGAGACACACAGGAGAAUAUCACGUGAAGGGACAGAGACUGGACUUGUGCUGCCACUGACCAAGGAACAUCUAAGCAACUGGAAGCCACAGAACCUAAGGAAGGAGCCCUUCUGUACAGAUUUCAGAGGGAGACAUUCAUGUUGACAUCUUGACUUCCAGCUUUGAGCCUCCUGAACUUUUCAGUUGUGUAAUUCAGCAUUGUCAUGUACAGUCGUAUUUGGGAUUCCCCCAAAUUUAACAAUGACACUCAAAGAGACCUAGUUUUUGGUCAGACACAUAAAGACCUUGGAAAUUCAAAUCCAUCCUAAAAAGAUUAAAAAUGCUGCACUCCAACGAGGCCCAACAACAGGGAAGACUGUCAAAUGUUUGAGUUUUACCUUCAGGAUCCCUACCAGGUUCACAAGAAUUUCCCAUAUUAAUUAUGACAUGCAACCUACAAAGGUAAUAAGAGGAUACAGGAUGUGGAAGACAUCUUGAACACUAGAAAUCAGAGAUCAAGUUGUCAAGAGGACUGAUUUUUCUUCAGGAUUCUCUGCUUCACUCAUAGAAGAUUGUUUCAUUUCUUGUUUUCACGACCCACCACUGCAACUUGAACCGAUUGACAGCUUCUUGGGCAUGCCAAAGGAGAGUGUUUGGAGGAGUUCCUCCAUGCAUAGCAGUAUUUGCAGUUCCAGACUGUCAAAAAUUCUUGAACAUCUUUUUUUUUUUCAUUUACUGCCUCCAACAUUCUGAAGAAACACAUUCUGAAGAAAAAUAAUGUUCUUAGGGGGGAAAGUGUUCCCUUUGCCUGUUUGCAUUUUGAGCAUACAAUUCAAAAUCUGAAAACUAGGUAGCCCUUGUCUAGGAUCUUGUCAUUAAAGUUUGAAUUUUCUCCUCAGACCAUCAGGAUAUCAUACUAAAUUAAAAGUAGAGGGGCCGG